GAUCUUUGUGUUGCCAGGCAGGAAUGGGCUGCUUGGGGACCCAGUGAGCUCCGAGAGCCUUUCUGCUGCUUCCUGUACCCCUGUAUUUCGCUCAGCUCUCUCACUUGACUCAGCUCCAGAAACAUUCAUUAAUAUUACAUGCUUAUGGAACUAUACCUAUUGAUUAAAGGCAUCUACCCCUGGAGAAAGAGCCCAAUGAGGAGUAAUCUCUGAAGCCCAGAUUUCCUAAGGAUGAAGCUUCAGGAGAGGCCUUAUCAAUCCUGAUAACAAACUUUUCUCAUCAAGUUAGUUUCAUUUAAGGGAAGUUUUAAAUGUGGAAAGUUCAGAAGGCUAUUAAAAUUGGUUCCAGCUAAGAUACACGCACAACCACACACGCACACACACACACGGUAGAGAUAAAUAUGUUCAACAAUCCAGCUCAGUGUUACUAGAAAAUUUGAUCAGAAUCUGGCGAAAUAAAUAGUAAACUUACUAAAAAUGCCAAAUAUCCCAGAAGUUGCUUCUUUAACAUUUGAUCAAAAACUCUGUCCAGUCCAUUUUUGCUUCUUUCAAAAAUACUCUGCCGAAAAGCCAAAGGAGAAAUGGGGCUGGUACCUUCAAUAUAGAGAAUUCCAAAUAAGAUUAGAUCCCAGAAGGCUUAGUGUGGCUUUCCAGGACUGUCACUAUUAGGCAGUAACCUACCAUUCACCUCUGUUUCCCAGAUCCACCUCGUUAUACCUUAUAACUUAAAAUAUAAAUUCCAACAAUGUAUUGUACUCAAAAAAAUUAUUUCUCAAUUUGUUUGCUCAUACUAUUGAUAUUUUUCUAGAAUCUAAAUAAUUGUGAAUUAACUAUGAUAGCAGUAUUCACAAACAGUAAGUGAAAUCAGAUGUAUUAAUUCUGAGAGGAAGGAGGUGUCAGGAUUUUCACAGAAGAAGAGCACUAAGGCCGGGUGCGGGUGGCUCACGCCUGUAAUCCCAGCACUUUGGGAGGCUGAGGCAGGCGGAUCACGAGGUCAGGAGUUCUAGACUAGCCAGACCAACAUGGCGAAACCCCGUCUCUACUAAAAAUACAAAAAUUACACACCUGUAAUCCCAGCUACUCAGGAAGCUGAGGCAGGAGAAUCACUUAAACCUGGGAGGUGGAGGUUGCAAUAAGCUGCGAUCGUGCCACCGCACUCCAGCUUCGGCAACAGAGCAAGACUCCAU